UUUCUCUCUAGGAUAAAGGACAAGGAAGUGAGGCGGUGUGGAUGGAGGUUGCCACGGUGGUGAGGCGAGGAUGAUGGGAUUACGGUGUGCAGUGGUGGCGUCAGAGUGAUGUGAGAUUGAAGGAGGUGCGGUGGCGGUCUGGACUGUCUGUGGCAGCUAAAAUGGAGGAGAAUGGUCGGCCGCCGAUGGUGGUCUCUGGAGGUGGCAGUAGCGAAGGUGUAAUGAGGGGAGGCCGCGGCGGCGCGUGGAGUGGUGAUCGCCGUCCAGGAGUGAUGGGGUCGGCGCGUGG
rnacentral:lncRNA from 1 species